CCUACGGGAGGCAGCAGUGAGGAAUAUUGGUCAAUGGGCGCGAGCCUGAACCAGCCAAGUAGCGUGCAGGAUGACUGCCCUACGGGUUGUACACUUCUUUUAUAAAGGAAUAAAGCAGGGCACGCGUACCUUUUUGUAUGUACUUUAUGAAUAAGGAUCGGCUAACUCCGUGCCAGCAGCCGCGGUAAUACGGAGGAUCCGAGCGUUAUCCGGAUUUAUUGGGUUUAAAGGGAGCGUAGAUGGGUUGUUAAGUCAGUUGUGAAAGUUUGCGGCUCAACCGUAAAAUUGCAGUUGAUACUGGCAGUCGUGAGUACAGUAGAGGUAGGCGGAAUUCGUGGUGUAGCGGUGAAAUGCUUAGAUAUCACGAAGAACUCCGAUUGCGAAGGCAGCUUACUAAACUGCAACUGACAUUGAUGCUCGAAAGUGUGGGUAUCAAACAGGAUUAGAUACCCGGGUAGUC
rnacentral:rRNA from 1 species